AGAAGCAAGGAGCAAUAUCAAACACCUUCCUUCAGGGCGAACAGCUGUUUCAUCUGCUGUAAAUGUGUUGAAAGUAGUAGUGCACAGGGUUGAAAUUUCAGCCCGAGUCUGACCUGAUUCAUGCAAGCUCGAGCCAGUAGGGCUGUGUAUUGGCAAGAAUCUGGCGAUACGAUUACCAUUCAAUAUAUUGCGAUAUAUUGGGAUACAGCCAGUUCAUCCAGGUGGACGAUUGCACCAACUUUGAAGAAAUUCCCUCAUGGCGUUGAGAUAUUGUGUUCACGAGAAUGGACUGGACGGACAGAUAACCCGAAAACUCCGACCACGGCUGUCGCCUGCGCAAAGGCAA